rnacentral:rRNA from 1 species
UACGAAGGGGGCUAGCGUUAUUCGGAAUCACUGGGCGUAAAGAGCGCGUAGGCGGUCUUGUAAGUUGGAAGUGAAAUGCCGAAGCUUAACUUCGGAACUGCUUUCAAAACUGCUAUUCUAGAGAUAGGUAGGGGAUGGUGGAAUUCCUAGUGUAGAGGUGAAAUUCGUAGAUAUUAGGAGGAACACCGGAGGCGAAGGCGACCAUCUGGACCAAAACUGACGCUGAGGCGCGAAAGCGUGGGGAGCAAACAGG